rnacentral:rRNA from 1 species
UACGGGGGGGGCAAGCGUUGUUCGGAAUUACUGGGCGUAAAGGGCUCGUAGGCGGCCAACUAAGUCAGACGUGAAAUCCCUCGGCUUAACCGGGGAACUGCGUCUGAUACUGGAUGGCUUGAGAUUGGGAGAGGGAUGCGGAAUUCCAGGUGUAGCGGUGAAAUGCGUAGAUAUCAGGAGGAACACCGGUGGCGAAGGCGGAUCUCUGGGCCAUUACUGACGCUGAGGAGCGAAAGCGUGGGGAGCGAACAGG